rnacentral:rRNA from 1 species
GACGAACGCUGGCGGCGUGCUUAAAACAUGCAAGUCGAACGGACUUCUCAUGAAGCUUGCGAUUGAGAAGUUAGUGGCGGACGGGUGAGUAACGCGUGGGCAACCUGCCCCUGAGCCCGGGAUAACAGUUCGAAAGGACUGCUAAGACCGGAUAUACUUGCGGGGAAGCAUUUUCUCUGUAAGGAAAGGGAACGCUCAGGGAUGGGCCCGCGUCCCAUUAGCUAGUUGGUGAGGUAACGGCCCACCAAGGCGACGAUGGGUAGCCGGCCUGAGAGGGUGAACGGCCACACUGGGACUGAGACACGGCCCAGACUCCUACGGGAGGCAGCAGUUGGGAAUCUUCGGCAAUGGGCGCAAGCCUGACCGAGCAACGCCGCGUGAGUGAUGAAGGUUUUCGGAUUGUAAAGCUCUGUCUUCCGGGACGAUAAUGACGGUACCGGAGGAGGAAGCCACGGCUAACUACGUG